CCUACGGGAUGCAGCAGUGAGGAAUAUUGGUCAAUGGACGAGAGUCUGAACCAGCCAAGUAGCGUGAAGGAUGACUGCCCUAUGGGUUGUAAACUUCUUUUAUAUGGGAAUAAAAUGAUCCACGUGUGGGAUUUUGUAUGUACUUUAUGAAUAAGGAUCGGCUAACUCCGUGCCAGCAGCCGCGGUAAUACGGAGGAUCCGAGCUUUAUCCGGAUUUAUUGGGUUGAAAGGGAGCGUAGGUGGAUUGUUAAGUCAGUUGUGAAAGUUUGCGGAUCAACCGUAAAAUUGCAGUUGAAACUGGCAGCCUUGAGUACAGUAGAGGUGGGCGGAAUUCGUGGUGUAGCGGUGAAAUGCUUAGAUAUCACGAAGAACUCCGAUUGCGAAGGCAGUUCACUGGACUGCAACUGACACUGAGGCUCGAAAGUGUGGGUAUCAAACAGGAUUAGAUACCCGUGUAGUC
rnacentral:rRNA from 1 species